rnacentral:misc_RNA from 1 species
AAAGAGGCUGAGGCUAUUUGGAGUGAACUUGGAGUUCCAACUUGAUGAAUCGGAACCAUCCACACCAGAUGGUUCGUCUUUUUCGAGCCAGGGUCCAACGCAACAGCAACUCUACAGCUUUCACUCAGCUUAUUCUUCUUCUUCAAAUAGCAGCCAUGGUCACAUGGAUAUAACUUUAUCAAGAGAUGUCAACCAGACGAGAAAUCAUCGAGGAUAAGAUCUGUGGAUGUGACGUUCCUCGAUUUGACUUAAUUGAACACUCCCCUAUCUCCCUUCCCUACCCCUUCCUCCACUUGGAGGGUGAGAAAGAUUUUAUGAAAAAUAUUUCUUUCUUUAUAUAUAUAUAUAUAAGAAAUCCCUGAAUUUCAGGUGCAAAGUUCAAGCCAGGUAGAAAAGAGGGGAGUGGAAAAAAAAAAUGGAGAAAAUUUUAGAAGGGGGGAGAAGCCAAAGGGAUGAGAGAUGGGGUCCAAUGAAGACAGAAAGGAGUAGAGGGGACAAAUGGUGACAUAAGGAAAUUGCCAAAUGGGAAAAUUUUUGAGUGGGUUGGGAAUUGAAAUUGAGGGAGGAAUCUAUUUAGACACUGUUGAGAUUCUGCCUGAAGAUUUUUCAUAAGGUAUCAUAAUCAUAAUGGAAGAGGGUGGUAUGGUGGUGGAUGGAUGGAUUGACGGGUGGGUGAUGGCCGGCCUUCAAUUCAUGGAUGGCAGCCAAGUAAUGUAGUUGCCUCUCUCUCUCUGUCUCUCUCUACAUGUCAAUUUAUCCAAACAUCAAGCAAAGGCAAAGCUGUUUUUGAUGCUUCAUCAUUGUUUCUCUUAUGUAAUUGUAAGUUGUUGCAAGUCAG